AAAUAGACCAAUUUAAAAAUAUGCUACAAAUAUUUGAAGAAAAGGUAAUUUAAAAAUAAAAUAAAAUUGAUGAAAAAUGCGAUAGCCCAUUAGCCUCAUUACAAGACUUGAAUAAUUUCGAACAGCAAUUACAGAAGUCACAAUAAUACAAAGAGAAAAUUAUGGUGAAGACUUUAACUGUAAAAAUUGAACUGGGAUGAAAGGAUAAUUAAUCUUUAAAAAUGGAUUUUGGAUCUUAGACAAAUAAUUAUGCGUACGCUUAUUUUUUAGUUCAACAUUCUUAUAAAAGGAGCAAUUUGAUUACGUUCAUAAUACGUAUAUCUUGACUACAGAUGCCGAAUUUACAGAAUCCUCCAAAUGGCUUGCACAAGCACCGCUAAGGAUUCAAAGAGAAAUAUAAAUAUCUACAUGCAUGUAUAUUGUUUGAGAAUUUGUUCAUUUAACUGGAGCAUGUUAAAUAUUUUCAAAGAUAUUAAUUAAUGUAUCUUAAUACUUUUAUACGCAGAAUGAGAAAUGUAUAUUGUUUGGAAACUUGUUCAUUUAACUGGAGCAUGUUAAAUAUUUUCAAAGAUCUUAAUUAACGUGCCUUAACACUUUUAUACGCAGAAUAAGAGAAGAAUCGAUUUAUAUAAAAAAUUUAUAUGUAAGGUCAUUUUGGAAAAUGACCUUAAUGUCGAGAGAAUUGAUAUAAAAAAUGGAUUUAAAAACUGGUUUGCAAUGUUAACAAAUACCUGCGUAGAAAAUAUGCAUACCUGUGUAAAGUACAAAAUAUAUGCAUAAAGCUUAAAAUAUGUAUAAAAUAUAAAAUAUACAUUCCUGUGUAUAUAUAAUAGUAUAAAGUGCAAAAAAUGUGUACAAUGCGUUAAUCCUAUUAAUAAGAUGGAAUCUGAUGAAUCGAUCCCUGAGUCUUUUUUUUAUUACAUUUUUAUAAUUUCUUUAACUUUACAAUUUCCCAUGUUCUUGUGGGAAUUAGGAUUUAACAGCUAAUAAAAAAAAUUCAUAAGAUACAAAGAUUUAAAGAGGAUGGAAUACAGGUUUUCUCAAUUUUAUCUCACAAGAUAAGAGUUAAAUACAAAAUGUGCAUAACUCUAUAAAAUUCAAAAUAUAUAAAUAAAAGAAAUGUACAAGAUUAUUGGAACUUCCAACGAUUAAAAUCACAUCAAUUAAUAAAAAAAAGGCUGUUAGGCACGCAAAAAGAUGCGCAAAUAAAUGAUAUUACAUGUGUUAAAUAAGAUAAUCUUAAUGAAGUACAUAUUAUAACAUUUCGAACGUUUCGGCUAACUUUUAGUCAUUAUCAGCGACAUAAUUAUAAUUAAUAAAAUAUUGUAACGCGUGUAAAUUGUUGUGAAGUGCAUUUUUUGAUCGUAUUCCGAAAUCCGUUGAUUGAACGGAUGGAUCUUAUUACGCCUAAUAAAUCAUGCAAGCAAUAAGAAACUGUUACAUGAAUUAAAUUACAAAUUAAAAUAUACACACCUGUGCGUAAAGUUUAAAAGAAACAUAUUUACGUAAAGUGAAGAUGUGCAUGCGUGCAUAAAAUGCAAGAUAUGUACACCUGCGUUAGAUAAAAUAUACUUAUACAUAUAUACUUGCGUGAAGUACAAAAUAUACGUAUACCUGCGUAAAGUAUAAACUAUGUAUAUCUGCAUUAAAAUAUAAUUGUAAUAAAUUAUACAUUAAUUA